UGGGAAGCCUUUAAAUGCUAUGCUCUCUACCUCCAGGGUUUUUUUGUUUGUUUGUUUGUUUUUUGUGCAUCUGAGCCUUGGCUAAAGAAAUCAUUGGAAUUCCAUAACCUCCAUAUUUUACUUCUGUCCCACUCACCCAGUUUGGACCCAGUUUGCAUUCUCUGCAGUAGCCUUCCUGUACUAACUGUAGGGAAGGGAGGAGAGAAAGAUCUCAGUUUGAUUAAAGUAGACCACCUCUCUGGGAUUCUGCUGGGUAGAAUGCUCUCUUUGGCCUGUGUCUAUUGGAUUGAGAUGGAAGCUUCCUCCCCACAGCUACCAAAAGCUAGGGCUAGGGUGGUACAAACGGGGAGGGGGAGGCAAGAAUCCUGGAGUGAUUUUUUGAGAGAAGCCUGGGACAGUUUCCUACCCUCUUGGGGUAGAAUAACAGACAUUAUCUAGUUUCAUCCUCAUACUUCUAGGCAGGACUAUAGUUUACAGAUUAGAAGGCAUAUUAAAUUUUGACCUACCAAUUCUGGGGGGAUGCUUUGGCUGGGGUACAACUUUGCUGUGAAAAAAAAUUCAAGUUCAGAAAACCCCUCCCUCAAAAAAUCAUAGCAACCCACCCCCAAACUUGUCUCUUCCUGUAUUUACUUUUUUAGUGGGGUUUCAGAUCCUUAUCUACCCUUUUUUUUUUACCUUGGUCACCUCUCCUGCAGUAGAGGUAAACAGGAAACAACUAAAAGGUAGAGAGAAGUUUCUUCAAAAAGGUGCUGUAAAUCGGGAGAGCAUGUCCUUUGUUGUAGGUUUGUUUUCUAUUUCUUUUUUUUUGGUCUUUCAAUGCAAAUGAAGCUUUUGUUGAUAAAUGUAGAAUUGACAGUAUUAAAACUUGAGACUGGUGCUCCUGCUCUUUUCUAUGGAACCAAAUUGUUCCGUUCUCAUGCAGUUCUUCCUUUAGCUUAGAAGAGUUUCAAAGACUUUACCCAAGAUAGCAGCAGUAGCCUGCCCCCUUUUGGGUGUGAAGAGAUCUAACAAAGAUUCUUUAAAUCUUAAAGGUUUGGGCACUAUCUGUGCUGAGCUCCAGAACUUUAGGUCUCCCAAUUGUCUCAAUAUGUUUUAUUUCAGUUGCACACAUACACACACACAUCCCAUACACCCACACCUACAAAUACCUAAAUCUUUGUGUUAGCCAGGGAGGUAUAACUUUGUAAAUUUGCAAGGUUUUCUAGUAUUGUCUGUUGGUACUUUUGCUUCUGGACACCAUGGAUCAGAGAAGGAAAUGAACUGAUUGUUAGGAUAAUUGAAUUAUAUUCCUAGAUCUUCCAGGGAAAGAAGAUGAAUUCUUUAUACCCUAGGCUGGUGAGUUUGACUCAGAUCCCUGGGGAACUUUUGGAAUGCAUUAUCAUAGGGACAACUGGUAAACUCUUAGGGAAAUAGUGAUCAUAGAUUUUUAGAGCUCACUAACAAGGCAGGGGAAUUUCUAGGUCCUGGGGAACCAGAGUUUCAGAUAUCAAUUCUGCUACAUACUGCAUAUGUGAUUCUAAGUACUUCAAAUCUAUGGGAAUCCUUUCUUCAUUUGUAAAAUUAGGGACUGGGCUAUGUAAUCUCUACGGUGCCUUCAAGUUCUGGAUCCUGUGAAUUUUUUUAAUGUAAAAGUAUAGUGAAAUUCAUACUGAAACUGGGACUCAGGAGAUCUGGACUUCAUUUCAAUGUCUGUUGCUAAUUUGUUUUCAAAAUUAUUGAUUUCCCAUGUAAUUCUAUGUAUUUUAUUUUAUGUAUUUAAAAACAUGAUUCUGAGAAAAGGUUCAUGCAUAGGCUUCACCAAAUUGUUCAAGGGGUUCAAGACAAAGGUUAAGAACUUCUAGGUGGGAUGAUUUAAGGAGUUCUUCCUAACUUUAACAAUCGGUUAAAUUUAUAACACAGGCAAUGAGGAAUCCAAAAAAGGCACCAGCUCAUCUCUCCUGCUUUUCUUGUAUUUAAAAUGGACAAACACAUGCUGCAGAAUUAUGCAGAGCUGUUUGAAAGAUUAAAUUCAAAGUGUUAGGAUUAGUAAAUGGAGGUCUAAAGUGGAGUGCCCCUCUGCUCUGUCCUGGGCUCUGUGUUUUUCAAUUUUUUAUUACUUUUUAAUAAAUUUAUCAAGGAUAUAUACA
rnacentral:lncRNA from 1 species